rnacentral:rRNA from 1 species
ACGAACGCUGGCGGCGUGCUUAACACAUGCCAGUCGAACGGAAAGGCCCUGCUUUUGUGGGGUGCUCGAGUGGCGAACGGGUGAGUAACACGUGAGUAACCUGCCCUUGACUUUGGGAUAACUUCAGGAAACUGGGGCUAAUACCGGAUAGGAGCUCCUGCUGCAUGGUGGGGGUUGGAAAGUUUCGGCGGUUGGGGAUGGACUCGCGGCUUAUCAGCUUGUUGGUGGGGUAGUGGCUUACCAAGGCUUUGACGGGUAGCCGGCCUGAGAGGGUGACCGGCCACAUUGGGACCGAGAUACGGCCCAGACUCCUACGGGAGGCAGCAGUGGGGAAUAUUGCACAAUGGGCGGAAGCCUGAUGCAGCAACGCCGCGUGCGGGAUGACGGCCUUCGGGUUGUAAACCGCUUUCGCCUGUGACGAAGCGUGAGUGACGGUAAUGGGUAAAGAAGCACCGGCUAACUACGUG